GACGAACGCUGGCGGCGUGCCUAAUACAUGCAAGUCGAACGCAGUGGGGACGGGUGAGUAACACGUGGGUAACCUCCCAUCAGAGGGGAUAACACUUGGAAACAGGUGCUAAACCGAUACUGAUGGAUGGACCCGCGGUGCAUUAGCUAGUUGGUGAGGUAACGGCUCACCAAGGCCACGAUGCAUAGCCCGCCUGAGAGGGUGAUCGGCCACACCGGGAACGGGACACGGCCCAGACUUCUACGGGAGGCAGGAGGAGGGAAUCUUCGGGAAUGGGCGAAAGUCUUACCGAGGAAAGCCGCGGGAGGGAAGAAGGUUUUCGGAUCGUAAAACCCUGUUUUUAGGGAAGCGGUAUCUAACCAGAAAGCCACGGCUAACUACGUGCCAGCAGCCGCGGUAAUAC
rnacentral:rRNA from 1 species